GUUCGUUCAACUGAAGCAUAAAGAUUCCAAAUAAUUAACAUAAACACAAGUUUCAUCUACGUUAUGGAGAUGGAUUCCUGUCAGGUACCAACCACUACUCGAGAGAUGACUGACAGCAUGACAGGAGACAAAGCUAUUUUAAAAGAGAUUUGUUUCACUGAGGACCAGCUCCCCUGGCCUUCCACACCUUGAAUCAUCGGUGAUCUACUGCUGAAGAUCUGGACCCAAAAAUAACUAGAAUCACUCCAGAAAGGACAUUCAAUCUCUACUGGAUUAUGUCCUUGACUCUUCA